UACAGAGGGUGCGAGCGUUGUUCGGAAUCAUUGGGCGUAAAGGGCGUGUAGGCGGUCUGUUAAGUCAUGUGUGAAAUCCCUCGGCUCAACCGGGGAACGACGCAUGAAACUGACAAGCUAGAGUACCAAAGAGGGGGGUGGAAUUCCCGGUGUAGCGGUGAAAUGCGUAGAUAUCGGGAGGAACGCCGGUGGCGAAGGCGGCCCCCUGGUUGGAUACUGACGCUGAGACGCGAAAGCGUGGGGAGCAAACAGG
rnacentral:rRNA from 1 species